rnacentral:rRNA from 1 species
CUCCUACGGGAGGCAGCAGUGAGGAAUAUUGGUCAAUGGGCGCAAGCCUGACCCAGCAACGCCGCGUGAAGGAAGAAGGCUUUCGGGUUGUAAACUUCUUUUGCCAGGGACGAAGCAAGUGACGGUACCUGACGCAUAAGCCACGGCUAACUACGUGCCAGCAGCCGCGGUAAUACGUAGGUGGCAAGCGUUAUCCGGAUUUACUGGGUGUAAAGGGAGCGCAGGCGGCACGGCAAGCCUGGUGUGA